rnacentral:rRNA from 1 species
UACGAAGGGUGCUAGCGUUGUUCGGAAUUACUGGGCGUAAAGCGCGCGUAGGCUGUUUAUCAAGUCAGGGGUGAAAUCCUGGGGCUUAACCCCAGAAUUGCCUUUGAAACUGUUAAACUGGAGUGUCGGAGGGGAUAGCGGAAUUGCUAAUGUAGAGGUGAAAUUCGUAGAUAUUAGCAGGAACACCGGUGGCGAAGGCGGCUAUCUGGACGACAACUGACGCUGAGGCGCGAAAGCGUGGGGAUCAAACAGG